AAAGUGCAUGUCAAGUGUGCCUCAGAGUCUUACCCCACCCACGUAUCAAUUUUGAAAACUGCAACAUUAGUAGGCGUUGCCUGGAGGACCGAGAGGGCGGAGCCGCGGCAGUGACGAAGAGACGGCUAACUAGACGAAGCUAGCUCCCUUCACUCUGAGCAGUCAUUAGAAGUGGAGGACGUUUCUCCCCCUCCUUACCCAGACACUCGAGAAGAAAGGGACCAAGUCUAUUUGGAGGAGACAAGCGGACAUGAGCCUUAUUGUUUUGAGCUUGUGAGUUGCCUGAAAUUACUGGAACCGACCCAACAGACCCAUCUCUGAACGUGAUCCUCUGGUGUCUGCAGCUGAUCUCCUGCUGAUGUCGUCGGGAUCAGGAGCUUCCAGAAGAAUGUGCCUUUCAAUGACUCUUUCCCCCUUAUUUGUUAUAUUAAUUAAAUAAAUCUCAAUUUAUAUA